ACGGAUAAGCGUUGACGGCGUGCCUAACACAUGCAAGUCGAACGCGCCUGGUCGUGGAACACAUCCAGGUGAGUGGCGGACGGGUGAGUAACACGUGGGUUAUCUACCUUGAGGUGAGGAAUACCGGCGAGAAAUCGCCGACAAGACCGCAUAGCUUCGGGCAACCGAAGAAAGCUGAGCAAUCAGCGCCUCGAGAUGAGCCUGCGCCCGAUUAGCUGGUUGGUGAGGUAAAAGCUUACCAAGGCGACCAUCGGUAGCUGGUCUGAGAGGACGAUCAGCCACACUGGGAUUGAGAACGGCCCAGACUCCUACGGGGGGCAGCAGUGAGGAAUUUUCGUCAAUGGGGGCAACCCUGAACGAGCAACGCCGCGUGCAGGAAGAAGGUUUUCGGAUCGUAAACUGCUUUUCUUGGGGAAGAGAAUGGACGGUACCCAAGGAAGAAGCCCCGGCCUAACUACGUGCCAGCAGCCCGCGGUAAUACGUAGGGGGCAAGCGUUGUCCGGAUUUAUUGGGCGUAAAGGGCACGCAGGCGGUCUACUGCGUUUGGAGUGACAGGUGGUGGCUCAACUGCCACGGGCCUCUCAAAUACGGGUAGACUUGAGGGCGAGAGAGGGAUGCGGAAUUCCAGGUGGAGCGGUGAAAUGCGUAGAGAUCUGGAAGAACACCAAUGGCGAAGGCAGCAUCCUGGAUCGUGACUGACGCUCAUGUGCGAAAGCCAGGGGAGCGAACGGGAUUAGAUACCCCGGUAGUCCUGGCUGUAAACGAUGACCACUAGACGUAGGGGGUAUCGACCCCUUCUGUGUCGCAGCUAACGCAAGAAGUGGUCCGCCUGGGGAGUACGGUCGCAAGAUUAAAACUCAAAGGAAUUGACGGGGACCCGCACAAGCAGCGGAGCGUGUGGUUUAAUUCGAUGCAACGCGAACAACCUUACCAAGACUUGACAUGGACUCGCACCAGCCGUAACGGGCUGUUCUGGAAACAGACGGGUUCACAGGUGCUGCAUGGCUGUCGUCAGCUCGUGUCGUGAGAUGUUGGGUUAAGUCCCGCAACGAGCGCAACCCCUAUCGUUAGUUGAAUAGUCUAGCGAGACUGCCACGCUAAACGUGGAGGAAGGUGGGGAUGACGUCAAGUCAGCACGGCCCUUACGUCUUGGGCGACACACACGCUACAAUGGUCAGUACAAAGAGUUGCCAACCCGCGAGGGGGAGCUAAUCUCAUCAAAGCUGAUCUCAGUUCAGAUUGCAGGCUGCAACCCGCCUGCAUGAAGUCGGAGUUGCUAGUAACCGUGGGUCAGCACACCACGGUGAUACAUCCCG
rnacentral:rRNA from 1 species